GGAGAGGUGGCAGAGUCCGGUUGAAUGCGCUCGACUCGAAAUCGAGUAGGCUGUGAUGAGCGGCCUCGUGGGUUCGAAUCCCACCCUCUCCGCCA
rnacentral:tRNA from 1 species